rnacentral:rRNA from 1 species
UCGACGGAGAGUUUGAUCCUGGCUCAGGACGAACGCUGGCGGCGUGCUUAACACAUGCAAGUCGAACGAGAUACCGGAGCUUGCUCCGGUGGAAAGUGGCGAACGGGUGAGUAACACGUGAGAAAUCUGUCCUAGAGACCGGGACAACCAUCGGAAACGAUGGCUAAUACCGGAUACCCCCACACGGUCGCAUGGCCGAGUGAGGAAAUGCUCAGGUGCUCUAGGAGGAUCUCGCGGCCUAUCAGCUAGUUGGUGGGGUAACGGCCUACCAAGGCAUCGACGGGUAGCUGGUCUGAGAGGACGAUCAGCCACACUGGGACUG